UUCACAAAAUUAUCCAAUGUAACACAAAGAACAGAACCCUUACAGAACUCAGUCUAUCUAAACUAGACUUAACUAUGCUGAUCCGAAUAUGCAUGAAAGUCCCAAUAAACAAACCCUCUUAAACACAGUAAAAAUGAAACAAAGGCUGACAGGUCAAAGCUAGAAGGGCAGAAGGAAAGAGAGGAUUGAAGCCUGUUUCCACACAGCCCACUGUUGAACUCCAUAACUAGUUCUGGAUUGAACUGCUCAGCUAGAGAGCUGGCAACACCCCCUUGACUUAUACAGGUUACUUCUAACAACAUAAAUGCUUUGGCCUAAAGACUCAUCUGUUUACGUAUAAAUAAAAGAGCCUUUCAUCUCUGUACCAAACCCAGCCAUUUUGGAGCCCGGGGUGUUUAUGACCGCUCUGAAAGAAAAUCAAGGACACAGUAUCCUUGAGAAAAAGAACAGCUUUUAGAAAAAAGGACCAGCUUUAUGACACUGGUUCAAUAGGAACAUGGACCAGCAUGCCAGAAAUAUCACCGGGUAUCUUUAAAAAAGAGAUGUUAAACUUGUGAAGCCAAAGAAUUAAAUGUAAUCUUAACACUAGCAGUAACAUGCCAUAGACAGAAUUAUUAUCAAAGAAUGAGCUCAUUUCUACUACAUCCAGUUGUGAAGGGUGGUGGACAAGUAAUAAUAAAAAAGGAAAGAUCCAUGACCAACACCAACCUCAAGACUGGAUAGGUCCAGCACAUCAGUCCAAAAAUCAAGGUUGAAACAUUUGCAACCAUCUUAGCUCUCAUUGCUUAUCCAUCUCGGGCUCCUCCUGAGAUUCCCAGGUGAGAGAUACCUGUCUUCAGCCAAUUCAAUUUGUUCCAAGUGAUAUCAAGAAAUGGCUCAGCAUACCAGCUCUUGAAAUAUUUUGGCUCUGACAAGAACCAACAGUGUUGAAGACUUAUCCUUCAGAGUUAGAUGCAUUUAUGGUUAAAUUGUCCUAAUACAGUUGCAACACUAUUAUUUGUACAACAACUUGGAAUUUUUCUGCUGGUUAAAGAAAGGACAAAACCAAUCCAGCUAAUUACCACCCCAUCGGUCUAUUUUUAGUCAUCAACAAUUCAAUAAAGGUAUCAGUGACAGUACUAUCAGGCAACACCUACUCACCCAUAACCUGCUCAAUUUCGCAAUUCUAAUCAGAGCAUAUGGCUCCAGAUCUCACAAAAAUCUUGAUCCAAGAAGUGUGAUUGGCUCUUCUUGCCUGGAGGUGUGCAGCUCUAACAACAUUCAAAAAACUCAACACCAUCUAGGACAAAGCAGCCAGAUGAUUGGUACUCCACCUAACACAUGCAAGAUGCACCACAGCAACUUGCCCAGCCCCUUUGAAACCUCUAACCCCUACCACCUGAGAAGACAGCAAAUUACACAUUAUCCUAAUUUGGUCACAGCAUGAAAAUCCUGGAACUUCCUCCCUAACAGCACAAUGGAUGUUUCCUCACUACACGGAUUGCAGCAGUUCAAGAAGGUGGUUUACCAUCACCUUCUCAAGGGCAAUUAGGGAUCAGUAAUAAAUGCAGACAUUACCAGCAAUCCCCACAUUAAUGCAUUAACUUUUUAAAAAAUACCUCUUUAUUCUCUGUUCAGUUUUACUUUGCCUCCCCCAAUAUUUCCUCAGGUAAGGAAUGUACUUAAUGUACAUUAGUGCUUUAACUUUUUUUUUGUAUUAAACGUGUUAUACAAAUCAACAGUGUAGGGCUCUUGUGAUGCAAUGAUAAUGUCCCUACCUCUGAGUACUAGGCCUGUGUUUGAGUCCAUCUGCUCAAGAGGUGUCUAAUAAAAUAUCUGAAUAGAUUGGUUACAAAUAUCCAUUGCUUAUAUUCUUGUUUGUAGUGCAUUGCGCAAAUGUUCAGGUCUGACAUGAUUUGUUCAAAAUGUUCUAGUUAUAACCACAAGGACAAUCCAUAUUCUAAGUCACAAUGUAUGUUAUUCACAAAAAGGACCUUUUCUGUUUCCAUGAACCAUGUAGAUCUUAAAGAAGAGCUUAAAGAAGAUCAGAGCCCUGUGACAGAGAUUAUACACAUACGAUAGUGGCAAGAUAACAGAGUAGUCUAAGUGGAAAAACACUAUGGAAGCUUCUUAAUAACUAUAAUAUAAAGGAAAACACACUGGCGAACAGGUUAUCUGCUAGCCCACUGACAAGUUGAAAGGUGUGUGACAUCCAAACUCAAAAAAAAGAAAAAUAAGCUUGAAAAGAAAUGGUCUGGAAAAUUGCUGUCAUUAUUUUUUAAGGUUGUCCCAAGCCACGUGCCAUUCCCUAGCAAAUUAGACAGGCAAUAAAACGUCUCCCAGUGCCGUUCUGCAAUUGGCUGCUAACAAAGCCAUGAGCAUUGAUCUCGUCUGACUUACCCUUCAACUCUUCUUUUAUCACCAUGGAGAAGUACCUGGCGACAUUGUGUACCCUUCCCUGACUGCUUCAUAUUGAGAUUUAAUGGUGCAGGGUGCAAAUCCUCAU